rnacentral:rRNA from 1 species
CGUAAAGCGCACGUAGGCGGACUUUUAAGUCAGAUGUGAAAUCCCAAGGCUCAACCUUGGAACUGCAUUUGAAACUGGGAGUCUAGAGAUCAGGAGAGGUUAGUGGAAUACCGAGUGUAGAGGUGAAAUUCGUAGAUAUUCGGUGGAACACCAGUGGCGAAGGCGACUAACUGGACUGAUACUGACGCUGAGGUGCGAAAGUGUGGGGAGCAAACAGGAUUAGAUACCCUGGUAGUCCACACCGUAAACGAUGAGAGCUAGUUGUCUGCAGGCAUGCCUGUAGGUGACGCAGCUAACGCAUUAAGCUCUCCGCCUGGGGAGUACGGCCGCAAGGUUAAAACUCAAAGAAAUUGACGGGGGCCCGCACAAGCGGUGGAGCAUGUGGUUUAAUUCGAAGCAACGCGCAGAACCUUACCUACGCUUGACAUGCCUGGACGACUCCGAGAGAUCGGUUUCUCCCUUCGGGGCCAGUGCACAGGUGCUGCAUGGCU